rfam:Megamonas hypermegale ART12/1 draft genome.
UGAAUAAUUCAUAAUUUAGGUGUACUUUGUACUUAAUAGAGAAAUCGGUAUAAGCCGAUGCGGUCCCGCCGCUGUAAGGACGAGCUAUAUUUCAUUUAUGUCACUGGGAAACUGGGAAGGCGAAAUUAUGCAAUGACUCCAAGCCAGAAGAACUGCCUAUAUUAUCUUUCCGAU